rnacentral:rRNA from 1 species
CGUAACAAGGUCUCCGUAGGUGAACCUGCGGAGGGAUCAUUACACAAAUAUGAAGGCGGGCUGGAACCUCUCGGGGUUACAGCCUUGCUGAAUUAUUCACCCUUGUCUUUUGCGUACUUCUUGUUUCCUUGGUGGGUUCGCCCACCACUAGGACAAACAUAAACCUUUUGUAAUUGCAAUCAGCGUCAGUAACAAAUUAAUAAUUACAACUUUCAACAACGGAUCUCUUGGUUCUGGCAUCGAUGAAGAACGCAGCGAAAUGCGAUAAGUAGUGUGAAUUGCAGAAUUCAGUGAAUCAUCGAAUCUUUGAACGCACAUUGCGCCCUUUGGUAUUCCAAAGGGCAUGCCUGUUCGAGCGUCAUUUGUACCCUCAAGCUUUGCUUGGUGUUGGGCGUCUUGUCUCUAGCUUUGCUGGAGACUCGCCUUAAAGUANUUGGCAGCCGGCCUACUGGUUUCGGAGCGCAGCACAAGUCACUCUCUAUCAGCAAAGGUCUAGCAUCCAUUAAGCCUUUUUUUCAACUUUUGACCUCGGAUCAGGUAGGGAUACCCGCUGAACUUAAGCAUAUCA